rnacentral:lncRNA from 1 species
GCUUUGCCAGGAGUAUGGAGUUCAAAAAGAACAUGGUCAUCGAUGACUCCACCAUUUGUUUCUAGUGGCUGGAGUGAAACGACGUGCUGGACACCACUUAGGAUGUCGUUUUGUAACACCAAGGGACCUCAAAAACCGUUCCAUCUACUUCCACUUUGAGUCUCCAUUUCUAUCUUCUUUGUCCAUAAACAUCAAGAGUUAUUGAAUUUUAUUCCAAGUAUAUGGUGAAUAUUUUUAUGUAAAUAUUAAAUUAGUGUUAGUUUUAUUUUAUAAAAUGGACUUGCAUUUAUAUGAUAAAAUUGAAGCAUAGGGCUAUCCUAUAUUCAAAUUUGAGUUCCCAUACCAUGCACGGAAGAAAUUAGUUCAAAUAAUAUUUUGCUUCAAGUGAUAAAUGUUAAUUCCUUUUAAAUAAGAUAUUGAAUUUUAAUAUCGUGCAUGGUAAAAUGGUUAAAAAAAAUUAGGACUUGCAGUUAAUUAUUGUUAAAAAAUCUUGAUAUGAUAAAUAGGUAAUUAUCACUUUAGGGAAAUUUUGGUAUUAUAUUUGUUAAUUCAAUAUCUUAUGCUUGGCAAAUUUCAUUAUGCAUAUGGCUCCCUAAUUUGUGAAAAAAUUCAGCAAUUGGUGCAAUAUUUAUGUGACAUUUUGUAUGCUCUUUGCAAUAUAUAUGUUUAUAUUCUUCUAGCAACUACGAUAUUUGGGCUAUAUUACUGAACUUGUAAUAAUUUGUAAAUCAUGCACUGCUCAAUCAGGAUAAGACACUUUAAAGAUACAUUUUUUUAAUAUUUAUCACCAUUAUUAUUAUUUUUAUUAUAAAUUUUUUAGUUUUUUAUUGAGAAGUUAUUGUAAUACUACUUUUCCUUAAAAUCAAAGGUAUAUGUUUAAUAUAUUGUAUAUACUACAUGCAAUUUGAACCAAACUUAUGGGCCGUGUUGGCCUGAACUUAUUGGCAAGCAUCACAUGAAAAAUGGAUUUUUUUUUUCAUCCUAAAAUAUCCAUCUGCCAUAUUUGUCUACGAAUGGACAAAAUAGAUGGGCAGCAGACAUUAUUAGAAAAAGUAUAGAACUUUAACUAUGCAAUUGUAUAUGUAUUUUAUCAAAUGUAAGAAAAUGUGUUCAACUUGUUAUAUAUAUAUUUAUAUAUCAAAUGUGAGAAAAUAUUAUCUUUUUCUUAUUAUAUAUAUGCAUUUGUAUUUAUGUAUUAUAUAUGUAUAUAUACAAUUCAUUUUAUAUUUUGUAUGUAAAUUAUGUACUAUAUAUAUUUUGUAUUAUAUAUAUGCAUUUCAUUUGUAUUUUAUAUGUUUAUUUCAUUUGUAUGAUUAUUUAUUAUGAUAAAUACAUUUGUAUCAAAAUAUAUAAUCUUUAUUUUGUAAAAAUAAUGUAUAUACAUUUGUAUGUAUUUUUUUAAUUUUGUUUAAAGUUGUCUGCAAGUCCACCAUGCACAUAUUUAAGAUAAAUAAAAUAUGAUAUUUCAUGCCUAUUUAAAAAUGGGUAUAUACUCAUAUCUAUCUUAAUUUAGAUGGACAUUACUUGAACAUAAGUAGGAUAGACAAGACGACCUUACUUACCAAUAUUAAUUGACUGUGAGAUUUAAAAAUAAAACUUAGACAUGUUAUUCUUGGUCAAACUGUUUUAUGAUACAAAAUGGGCACAUUAAAUUGAAAAAUAAAGUAAUAAAUGGUUAAAUUACUUUUAUUAAUAAUGAAUAUUGAUAAGUUCUCCAAAUACUCAUAUAUUGAAUAGGAAAGAUAUAUAAUAGUUUAUGAGUUUUAUACAUUAUUAUUAUAUAAUCAUUAUUCAUAUUUAACUAUCGUGAUUUUUUAAAAACAAUUUAAACAAAUGUUAAAUAAUAUAGUAAUUGUAUAUAUGUCUAUACACUAAGUGCAUAGAUAUUACAUUAAUAUUAAACUGAGAAUUGUUAAUAUACUUAAAGAGUUUAAAAUUUGUUUACUGAUAAUGUAAAGUUUUUUAUACUGUCAGUACAUCAUCCACUAUUUAUUUGUAUUAGUUUUGUUUGAGAAUCAAUAGUAAUUAACAAAUCAAUGAUGAAUAAUUUACUGACAGUGUACAAAACACUUAUACUGUCAAUGUAUAAUAUUAAAUCUAUACUUAAAACAUUAAUUAUUGUUUAUAAGGUUGGCUGAGCACGUGAGAAAGCAGAUUGUGUGUUUGAGAAGGAACGACGUCGCUUUGCCAGGAGUAUGGAGUUCAAAAAGAACAUGGUCAUCGAUGACUCCACCAUUUGUUUCUAGUGGCUGGAGUGAAACGACGUGCUGGACACCACUUAGGAUGUCGUUUUGUAACACCAAGGGACCUCAAAAACCGUUCCAUCUACUUCCACUUUGAGUCUCCAUUUCUAUCUUCUUUGUCCAUAAACAUCAAGAGUUAUUGAAUUUUAUUCCAAGUAUAUGGUGAAUAUUUUUAUGUAAAUAUUAAAUUAGUGUUAGUUUUAUUUUAUAAAAUGGACUUGCAUUUAUAUGAUAAAAUUGAAGCAUAGGGCUAUCCUAUAUUCAAAUUUGAGUUCCCAUACCAUGCACGGAAGAAAUUAGUUCAAAUAAUAUUUUGCUUCAAG